CCCUUAGAUGUCCGGGGCCGCACGCGCGCUACACUGGAGGAAUCAGCGUGGCUUUCUCCCUGACCCGAAAGGGUUGGGAAACCCGUUGAAUCUCCUUCGUGAUAGGGAUUGGGGCUUGAAAUUGUUCCCCAUGAACGAGGAAUUCCCAGUAAGCGCGAGUCAUAAGCUCGCGUUGAUUACGUCCCUGCCCUUUGUACACACCGCCCGUCGCACCUACCGAUUGAAUGGUCCGGUGAAAUCUUCGGAUUGAGACUUUGAUUUGUUUACUCAAAACGCUGUUUCAAGAAGUUGAUUAAACCUUACCAUUUAGAGGAAGGUGAAGUCGUAACA
rnacentral:rRNA from 1 species